UUCUUUGCUAAGCUAGUUUCCUGCUGAG
rnacentral:piRNA from 1 species